rnacentral:misc_RNA from 1 species
CAACCCUCAAGCUCUGCUUGGUAUUGGGCGUCACCCCCGGGUGCGCCUUAAAAUCAGUGGCGGUGCCGUCUGGCUUCAAGCGUAGUAAUACUUCUCGCUUUGGAGUCCGGGCGAGCGUCCUGCCAAAACCCCCAUAUUUUUUAAGG